GAUCAUGGCUCAGGAUGAACGCUAGCUACAGGCCUAACACAUGCAAGUCGAGCGGUAGCACAGAGAGCUUGCUCUCGGGUGACGAGCGGCGGACGGGUGAGUAAUGUCUGGGAAACUGCCUGAUGGAGGGGGAUAACUACUGGAAACGGUAGCUAAUACCGCAUAACGUCGCAAGACCAAAGUGGGGGACCUUCGGGCCUCAUGCCAUCAGAUGUGCCCAGAUGGGA
rnacentral:rRNA from 1 species